rnacentral:rRNA from 1 species
UACAGAGGUCUCAAGCGUUGUUCGGAUUCAUUGGGCGUAAAGGGUGCGUAGGUGGCGUCGUAAGUCAGGUGUGAAAUCUCGGGGCUUAACUCCGAAACUGCAUUUGAUACUGCGGUGCUUGAGGACUGGAGAGGAGACUGGAAUUUACGGUGUAGCAGUGAAAUGCGUAGAGAUCGUAAGGAAGACCAGUGGCGAAGGCGAAUCUCUGGACAGUUACUGACACUGAGGCACGAAGGCCAGGGGAGCGAACAGG